CAGGCGAUCCGCGUCGGUCGUGCGAGGGUGGUAUGGUUCCCCCAGAGGCCGGUUCUUGUGCUGCCUACCCCUUCAGGGGAAUCGGGCCACUCGAUGUAAGCCUCCAUCCGGCGCCUUCCAACGGGCGCAGGAGGACAACAGGGCACCCCCCGCGUUCCACCGAGCCUCCUCGGUCGCGUGGCCCGCGGGGACGUGCGACGCUCUCGGACCCAGCGAACGCCGUGGGCGAGGACUCACGUCCCAGUCCCGAAAAGAAGCUCCGAUAUAAUGCAAGACGGCCGCUCCCGCCCCCCCGGGGGCGAGGCGCGGCGUCGCAGAGGAAUGCUACCUGGUU
rnacentral:misc_RNA from 1 species